rnacentral:rRNA from 1 species
UCUUGCGCAAUGGACGAAAGUCUGACGCAGCGACGCCGCGUGGGGGAUGAAGGCUUUCGGGUUGUAAACCCCUGUUGCCCGGGACGAACUUCUUCCUUCGGGAAGAUUGACGGUACCGGGUGAGGAAGCACCGGCUAACUCUGUGCCAGCAGCCGCGGUAAUACAGAGGGUGCGAGCGUUGUCCGGAAUCACUGGGCGUAAAGGGCGCGUAGGUGGCGCGACAAGUCAGUGGUGAAAGCUCGACGCUUAACGUCGAGUCGGCCACUGAUACUGUCGGGCUGGAGCACUGUAGAGGCUCAUGGAAUUCCGGGUGUAGCGGUGGAAUGCGUAGAGAUCCGGAAGAACACCGGGGCGAAGGCGGGAGCUGGGCAGUUGCGACACGAAGCGGCAG